rnacentral:rRNA from 1 species
UACGUAGGGUGCGAGCGUUAAUCGGAAUUACUGGGCGUAAAGCGUGCGCAGGCGGUUCGUUAAGUCAGAUGUGAAAGCCCCGGGCUCAACCUGGGAACUGCAUUUGAAACUGGCGGGCUUGAGUGUGGCAGAGGGGGGUGGAAUUCCGCGUGUAGCAGUGAAAUGCGUAGAUAUCGUAAGGAAGACCAGUGGCGAAGGCGAGUCUCUGGACAGCAACUGACGCUGAGGCACGAAGGCCAGGGGAGCAAACGGG